GAGCAGACAUAGACCAGAGGAGGUAAACUUCUAAAGAAUAAACCUAUGAAAUUGUUACAGCAUUCCUUAGACUUCAUUGUGAUUGGUAACACCGUGGUAUUUGGAAGAAUUUUGUCAUCUUUAGAUUAUGGACUAUUAUGUGCACCAAAUUUCACUCGAUUAUAAGUUUCAGGUUUAUUGUAGUCUCCAAAUGACGCGGGUAGAUU
rnacentral:misc_RNA from 1 species